GAUAAACGCUGGCGGCGUGCCUAAUACAUGCAAGUCGAGCGAACGGACGAGAAGCUUGCUUCUCUGAUGUUAGCGGCGGACGGGUGAGUAACACGUGGAUAACCUACCUAUAAGACUGGGAUAACUUCGGGAAACCGGAGCUAAUACCGGAUAAUAUUUUGAACCGCAUGGUUCAAAAGUGAAAGACGGUCUUGCUGUCACUUAUAGAUGGAUCCGCGCUGCAUUAGCUAGUUGGUAAGGUAACGGCUUACCAAGGCAACGAUGCAUAGCCGACCUGAGAGGGUGAUCGGCCACACUGGAACUGAGACACGGUCCAGACUCCUACGGGAGGCAGCAGUAGGGAAUCUUCCGCAAUGGGCGAAAGCCUGACGGAGCAACGCCGCGUGAGUGAUGAAGGUCUUCGGAUCGUAAAACUCUGUUAUUAGGGAAGAACAUAUGUGUAAGUAACUGUGCACAUCUUGACGGUACCUAAUCAGAAAGCCACGGCUAACUACGUGCCAGCAGCCGCGGUAAUACGUAGGUGGCAAGCGUUAUCCGGAAUUAUUGGGCGUAAAGCGCGCGUAGGCGGUUUUUUAAGUCUGAUGUGAAAGCCCACGGCUCAACCGUGGAGGGUCAUUGGAAACUGGAAAACUUGAGUGCAGAAGAGGAAAGUGGAAUUCCAUGUGUAGCGGUGAAAUGCGCAGAGAUAUGGAGGAACACCAGUGGCGAAGGCGACUUUCUGGUCUGCAACUGACGCUGAUGUGCGAAAGCGUGGGGAUCAAACAGGAUUAGAUACCCUGGUAGUCCACGCCGUAAACGAUGAGUGCUAAGUGUUAGGGGGUUUCCGCCCCUUAGUGCUGCAGCUAACGCAUUAAGCACUCCGCCUGGGGAGUACGACCGCAAGGUUGAAACUCAAAGGAAUUGACGGGGACCCGCACAAGCGGUGGAGCAUGUGGUUUAAUUCGAAGCAACGCGAAGAACCUUACCAAAUCUUGACAUCCUUUGACAACUCUAGAGAUAGAGCCUUCCCCUUCGGGGGACAAAGUGACAGGUGGUGCAUGGUUGUCGUCAGCUCGUGUCGUGAGAUGUUGGGUUAAGUCCCGCAACGAGCGCAACCCUUAAGCUUAGUUGCCAUCAUUAAGUUGGGCACUCUAAGUUGACUGCCGGUGACAAACCGGAGGAAGGUGGGGAUGACGUCAAAUCAUCAUGCCCCUUAUGAUUUGGGCUACACACGUGCUACAAUGGACAAUACAAAGGGCAGCGAAACCGCGAGGUCAAGCAAAUCCCAUAAAGUUGUUCUCAGUUCGGAUUGUAGUCUGCAACUCGACUACAUGAAGCUGGAAUCGCUAGUAAUCGUAGAUCAGCAUGCUACGGUGAAUACGUUCCCGGGUCU
rnacentral:rRNA from 1 species